rnacentral:lncRNA from 1 species
CUAGAGGGAGGGGUUCCUACGGAAGAGGAAGAGGCCGAGGUCGAGGCAGGACAUUCAGAGACAAAAGCACUGUGGAAUGGUACAAGUGCCAUCGUCUAGGACACUUCAAGAGUGAGUGUCCAAAGUGGGAAGAAGAAGAAGCCAACUAUGUUGAUGAGGAAGAAGAAAUGUUACUUAUGGCAUACAUUGAAGAAGAAACUGAAGAAGAUGUGGAGAUGGCAAUGGUAACUCAGACGGGGGAGCAAGAAGAC